rnacentral:ribozyme from 16 species
UCUGAAAAGGUGGUGUCGGCAUUGGCGCACAUACAUGGGUGAGUCCAAUUUCUUGAUGCGUGAAUGUAUUCUUGCAUAUUACAUACAGAUGACUGCACGUUCAUUUUAUUUUUGGAAGUGGCCAUGAGA